rnacentral:rRNA from 1 species
GACGAACGCUGGCGGCGUGCUUAACACAUGCAAGUCGAACGGAAAGGCCCUGCUUUUGUGGGGUGCUCGAGUGGCGAACGGGUGAGUAACACGUGAGUAACCCGCCCUAGACUUCGGGAAAACUUCAGGAAACUGGGGCCAAUACCGGAUAGGAGCUCCGGCCGCAUGGUGGGGGUUGGAAAGUUUCGGCGGUUGGGGAUGGACUCGCGGCUUACCAGCUUGUUGGUGGGGUAGUGGCUUACCAAGGCACUGACGGGUAGCCGGCAGGGGAGGGUGACCGGCCACAAUGGGCCUACGGUACGGCCCAGACUCCAACGGGAGGCAGCAGGGGAGAGUAUUACGCACUGGCCGGAAGCCUGAUGCGACGGCGCCGCGUGCGGGAUGACGGCCUUCGGGUGGAGAACCGCUUUGUCCUGUGACGAGGCGAGAGUGACGGUAAUGAAUAAAGAAGCACCGGCUAACUACGUG